AUGGUUUAAGGUCUUGGUGUGGGCCUUCAGUCGCCUUAGGUUGAAAAGGCUUCCAUCAGUACGGUAUCAAAUGUAGAUACCAUCCUGAUCCUCGAGGUCUGCCGUGGCCCUUUGGAGCAUCCUGCUGAAAAAGAUUGUGAAUAGGGUAGGAGCGAGAACGCAGCCUUGUUUCACACCAUUAGUUAUUAGGAAGGGCUCAGAAAGUGCAUUGCCAUAUCUGACUUGGCCAUGCUGAUCCUCAUGGAGCGAGAUGAUAAUUUUGAGGAACUUGGGGGGACAACCUAAACAUUCCAAAAUCUGCCAUAGACCUUUUCUGCUCACAGUAUCGAAAGCCUUGGUGAGGUCAACAAAGGUUACAUAGAGACCUUUGUUCUGUUCCCUACACUUCUCUUGCAGUUGUCUGAGAACAAACACCAUGUCUGUGGUACUCCUGCUGGCUCUGAAACCACAUUGGCUUUCAGGUAGAAUUACUGGGUCAUCAGGAGAGGAAAUGUUAGCUCAGCUAACAGUGCCUUAGUAAAAGCCAACAAAAUCUCCUGGUCCUGGGAAGCUGACCCAUAACUGAAAGUUUCACACCAGAAAGUGUGUGGGGACUCUUUUAGAACACCAAUGAAGAGAUGAAAGAUAAGAAUGCAUGAAGAAUAGAUAUUGUAGUUAAAAUAACACAGAAACCAACCAUACAUUCAACUUCCUGCAAGUGCAGCCUACGCAGGAAUUCCUAUGAAGUAGAGAAAAGUACAGAUAAAUGCUUGGUUGUCAUUUUCAAUCCCCCCACUUUGCUGUCCUUCCCUGCCAACAAGAAGAUCAGAUCAUACCCAAAAGAAGUGAUUGAGCUCACACAAGUACACAGGACACAAGCACAUAGGUUACAAGCACUGGGCAAUGUGGAACAAGCAGAAGUCCUUCCCUGGCUAAAUUGGGGGGGGGGGGGGGAACACCAAUCCACAAGAAAACAAAAUUCAAAUUUUUUUUUUUUUUAUUUUUAGCUAUUUUUGAAUCUCAGAAUCUCUCAAGGCCACCUACCCUUUUGGAAAAUGGAGGCCCAGCAAACCCCUCUCGAUUUUCUCCUUCCCAGCAGCGUGCCAUUUUCCACUUGCUGUCCUGGCACUUAGGGGUGUUACUGGGAAAAAAGGAAAAUCUAUAUUUUGAAGGAAAGAAUGAAGCUCUCCUGCCUCUAAUGUUGGUCUGAAAGAGGAAGAUAUUGUGUGCAGAAGAUGACUCUGAUCCCAGAGUUCCUCGCUAAGGCGGGAGGCAGUCCUGUCCUUGUGUUCCAAAUGGCAGCUCUGGCAAUGCUGGUAUCAGAACACAGCAUGCUGGAAAUCAUUUAUGCACCUACCACGGAGUACCUGGAGGAAGGCAAGACCCUGAGUUUGAACUGCCUCAUCAGGCACCAGCAGAAUGAAUCGUCACAAAUUGAGGCUCACUGGUAUAAAAGAGCAGAUAAGCAAAACGAGACUGGGUUUGGGGAGGAGGUGGAAAGCUUGCACCUUUCACAAAACUCGGACCCCAGGGUGAGAGUCACAUCCUCGCUGCUGCUGCAGGUUCAGAAAGUCAACCAGUCAGACAGCGGCCGCUACCAGUGCAGGGCCAAAAUAAAGAACACUGUCCUCACUGCUGUGGGCCACUUCAUCAGGGUGAAUGUAACAGGUGUGAACAUUGUCAAUUCCACAGAGAGGACAGAGGUUGACCUGGAAGAGAACAAAGCUCUAAGGGUGGAUUCUGGGCUGGAGAAAAUGUGGGCUGUGGUUACAAUAUCCUGGAUAAUUGUGUGUGUCAAAGGACUCAUACUGUGAAGACCCUGUGAAGUCUGAGCUGCUUUGCUUAAACAAGCUAAUGUUCCUGAGAUGCUUGCUGUGCCUCAGCUUUUCACACAGCACCUUUGGACACCGAAUAAGGAGCCCAAAGUCCUGGUGUGCAUGUUCUCCCAGCCUGGAGAAGCUCUGCCACCCCACCUUCAGGAGCUUCCCCGCUGGGCUCUAUUUUAAGCCACGCUGGGGAGGUGAGAAAAUGAAGAUCUUUUAUCAGCAAGCCCACGGUCCCACGACAGUAUUAACUUUUGUAGGAGAUGACCCGACUUCGAGUUGUGUUUUCCACCUGCAGAACACUCGCCUAUAACGAAGUGGGGGCAGUUUGGGCAGCACAAACCUGAACGAGGACGUGUCGUAGGACUUCCCCUGGCAACUCCACUCCUCUGCAUCCUCCUCCCUUGCGUCGAGAGUAAAGUCUGCCAGUAGUGCUGGUAACCAGGGGAGAAAGGAGGUGAGAAGUUUCACUGGAAACCACUGUGGGGAAUAUUUCUAAACCACUGACUGAUGCAGAGUGUUAACUGGCUCGUGAGAAAGGGAGCUUGUGACAGCAAAGAAGCCUGCAUGGGGAGGAAGGAAACAGGUAAAGCACAAGCAUCCCCUUACGUUUAUUACACUGCACCAAAAGAGUGUAGGCAGUGCUAAAUGGCAUCCUGACUCUGGUGUCAUGACUUUAGUUGGCAUUUGAGAGGUGGGAUGUGUAGCUUUUUCCAGUAUAGAUGUGGGUUUCUAUUUCAGGUAUGCUUUGUUACACAACCAAUUUGUUCAGCUUACCAAAAAAACCCCCCCCAAAAAUAAAAAAAAAAAUUACAGAAAUGGAAGCCACUGAAAGAAAACUAUUGAC